rnacentral:rRNA from 1 species
CGUCGAGAGGCGAUGAAGGACGUGGACAGCUGCGAAAAGCUUCGGGGAGCUGCUAACGAGCGUUGAUCCGGAGAUAUCCGAAUCGGGAAACCGACCUGGCGUAAGCCAGGGAGCCAUCACUGAAUCCAUAGGUGAUGAGCGGCCAACCCGGGGAACUGAAACAUCUAAGUACCCGGAGGAACAGAAAUCAAACGAGACUCCCUUAGUAGCGGCGAGCGAAAGGGGACCAGCCUAAACCUGUACAGUGUAAGCCUGGGGGCGUUGCUGUACGGGGGUCGUGGGAUCAUCGAGAGGAACCCCAGCACCUCACGGAGUUAUCAACUGGUUCGCUAGCAAAACGGUAUGGAAAGGCCGGCCAAAGAGGGUGACAGCCCCGUAUGCGAAAGUGAAUGAGCUCCGAGAUGACACCCGAGUACCACAGGACACGUGACAUCCGGUGGGAAUCUGGGAGGACCAUCUUCCAAGGCUAAGUACUACUCGACGACCGAUAGUGGACAAGUACCGUGAGGGAAAGGUGA